UGGGUGGGUUUGAGGACGACUUGAGGACC
rnacentral:piRNA from 1 species